rnacentral:rRNA from 1 species
ACGUAGGCUCCAAGCGUUGUCCGGAUUUAUUGGGCGUAAAGAGCUCGUAGGCGGUUGAGUAAGUCGGGUGUGAAAACUCUGGGCUUAACCCGGAGACGCCAUCCGAUACUGCUCUGACUAGAGUUCAGGAGGGGAGUGGGGAAUUCCUAGUGUAGCGGUGAAAUGCGCAGAUAUUAGGAGGAACACCGGUGGCGAAGGCGCCACUCUGGACUGAAACUGACGCUGAGGAGCGAAAGCAUGGGUAGCAAACAGGAUUAGAUACCCUGGUAGUCCACGCGGUAAACGGUGGUCACUAGGUGUGGGUCUCUAACCAAUGAGAUCCGCGCCGUCGCUAACGCAUUAAGUGACCCGCCUGGGGAGUACGGUCGCAAGACUA